rnacentral:SRP_RNA from 1 species
CCCCAAGUUGCUCGGCCCGCUGCUCGCAGCCAUGCUUGAGA